UCCUAGGCUAGCUCAGUCAGUACAGCACAAGACUCUUAAUCUCAGUGGCAUGCGUUUGAGCCCCACGUUGGGCA